rnacentral:lncRNA from 1 species
AAUAAUCAAUCCAAACCUCAAUAAGCAAACCAAAAUACCAGAUAUAACUAUGCUAUAAAGUUUAAUUCUAGAUUUGUAUAGAUAUACAAGAUCAUAUCAUGAAUUACUUAAAUUAAAUAUGAGCACAAUUUUAUGCUUCAAAUUUACAUAGUAGAAAUGCCAGCAUGAUUGAAAUUAAGAUUGAUCCAUAAACACAAGCCGAUCCUAAUAGCCAAUAUCAUGUAGAAAUAGGAGAAAGUUUUCGAAUUCAGGUAGUUUGGU